CCUGCUUGACAAAUCCAUGCACGAAUGGCGAGUGUGUUGUCAACGGAACCGAUCAUUUCUGCUCGUGUCGUCCAUGGUGGAAAGGAUCUAACUGUGAAACAUUUUCGACUCCUGUACACUGCGGUUGCUAUGAGAAUAGCAAUUCAGCUCGUUUGUUACCUUACAUGAUUCAAGGAUCAUUUCUGAACAGUCCAAACGAAUGUGCAACACGCUGCAGUACACACAAUUAUUCCUUCGCCGGAGUAGAGUUCGAGUGGCAAUGUUUCUGUGGCAAUUCGUUUGAUGCUACUAAAAAGAAGCCUGACAACGAGUGUAACAAGAGAUGUCCCGGGGAUAUCAGCAAGAUGUGCGGAGCUGCCAACAGAAUCAAUAUCUAUGGAGACCGUGACGGCGCAUGCCCAACCGACUAACGAAUACAUUAAACUGAGUUUGCCUUCUACACAUGGCAUGUUUUAGUAUAGCGUACGUUGUUGUCCAAUCGUCACUCAUAUUCAGUUUAAAGUAAUUUAGAGUUGUUUUAUUUUUGUUUUACUGUCACAUUAAAGGAAGUGUGGUACCCCACCGUACGAAAUUGAGUUACGGUUUCAAAUUAAUGUGACCCCAUGUUUGGUAUCUCGUCUCAACGAGUAACCAUUAAAUAUUAGUUCGGUACGAAGACGUACUUAGAAGUUUCCAAUAAUUAAUUAUUUUACCAAGAACAAGUAAUUCUUGAUAACGAAAUAACUAACUUAUGUGAAAUACUUAGUAGGUCGUUGUACAAAAAACAACAUAAAAACAUAAAGUUAUGGGAACGAGAUACUAAGCCAUGGUUUUGUUAUAAAUAAAACAAUCAGAUGCCUCAUAUGUACCU